rnacentral:rRNA from 1 species
UGCCCUGAUGUGGGGGAUAACUAUUGGAAACGAUAGCUAAUACCGCAUAACGUCUACGGACCAAAGAGGGGGACCUUCGGGCCUCUCGCUUCAGGAUAUGCCCAGGUGGGAUUAGCUAGUUGGUGAGGUAAUGGCUCACCAAGGCGACGAUCCCUAGCUGGUCUGAGAGGAUGAUCAGCCACACUGGAACUGAGACACGGUCCAGACUCCUACGGGAGGCAGCAGUGGGGAAUAUUGCACAAUGGGCGCAAGCCUGAUGCAGCCAUGCCGCGUGUAUGAAGAAGGCCUUCGGGUUGUAAAGUACUUUCAGUCGUGAGGAAGGCGAUAUAGUUAAUAGCUAUAUUCGUUUUGGACGUUAGCGACAGGAAGAAGCACGGGCUAACUCCGUGCCAACCAGCCGCCGGUUAAU